GGUUAGUAUCACACCUCAUGUAGCCUAGCCCAUAGGUCUAUAUGUUUUAAUAAGGUUAGUAUCACACCUCAUGUAGCCUAGCCCAUAGGUCUAUAUGUUUUAAUAAGGUUAGUAUCACACCUCAUGUAGCCUAGCCCAUAGGUCUAUAUGUUUUAAUAAGGUUAGUAUCACACCUCAUGUAGCCUAGCCCAUAGGUCUAUAUGUUUUAAUAAGGUUAGUAUCACACCUCAUGUAGCCUAGCCCAUAGGUCUAUAUGUUUUAAUAAGGUUAGUAUCACACCUCAUGUAGCCUAGCCCAUAGGCCUAUGUGUUUUAAUAAGGUUAGUAUCACACCUCAUGUAGCCUAGCCCAUAGUUCUAUAUGUUUUAAUAAGGUUAGUAUCACACCUCAUGUAGCCUAGCCCAUAGGCCUAUAUGUUUUAAUAAGGUUAGUAUCACACCUCAUGUAGCCUAGCCCAUAGGUCUAUAUGUUUUAAUAAGGUUAGUAUCACACCUCAUGUAGCCUAGCCCACAGGUCUAUAUGUUUUAAUAAGGUUAGUAUCACACCUCAUGUAGCCUAGCCCAUAGUCCUAUAUGUUUUAAUAAGGUUAGUAUCACACCUCAUGUAGCCUAGCCCAUAGUCCUAUAUGUUUUAAUAAGGUUAGUAUCACACCUCAUGUAGCCUAGCCCAUAGUCCUAUAUGUUUUAAUAAGGUUAGUAUCACACCUCAUGUAGCCUAGCCCAUAGUCCUAUAUGUUUUAAUAAGGUUAGUAUCACACCUCAUGUAGCCUAGCCCAUAGUCCUAUAUGUU